rnacentral:rRNA from 1 species
UACGUAGGGUGCAAGCGUUGUCCGGAAUUAUUGGGCGUAAAGAGCUCGUAGGCGGUCUGUCGCGUCGGAUGUGAAAAACCCAGGGCUCAACCCUGGGCCUGCAUUCGAUACGGGCAGACUAGAGUUCGGUAGGGGGAGACUGGAAUUCCUGGUGUAGCGGUGAAAUGCGCAGAUAUCAGGAGGAACACCGGUGGCGAAGGCGGGUCUCUGGGCCGAUACUGACGCUGAGGAGCGAAAGCGUGGGGAGCGAACAGG